GAGGGUAGAGCUCAGUGGCAGAGCACAUGCUUAGCAUGCAUGAGGUCCUGGGUCCAAUCCCCAGUACCUCA
rnacentral:tRNA from 1 species